rnacentral:misc_RNA from 1 species
UCCGGUUUGUCACCGGCAGUCUCCUUAGAGUUCCCGCCAUUACCCGCUGGCAACUAAGGGCAGGGGUUGCGCUCGUUGCGGCACUUAAGCCAACACCUCACGGCACGAGCUGAAGACAGCCAUGCAGCACCUGUGCUAGCCCCAAAAGGACACGGGCUUUCACCCGCUUUAACUAGCAUGUCAAGCCCAGGUAAGGUUCUUCGCGUUGCAUCGAAUUAAGCCACAUGCUCCGCCGCUUGUGCGGGUCCCCGUCAAUUCCUUUGAGUUUUAGCCUUGCGGCCGUACUCCCCAGGCGGCGAACUUAACGCGUUAGCUUCGAUACUGCGUGCCAAAUUGCACCCAACAUCCAGUUCGCAUCGUUUAGGGCGUGGACUAC